CCCCCAUCGUGUUCACUCCAUCCCCUGUUUCCCUUCCCAACCCUUUUGGCCAUGAGAGACCACCAUGACUCCAUGAGAGCUGAGGCCUAAGAGAUAGAGACUAGAGAUUCUGCUUCAGUUUCAGCCACCUCGUCGCCAGCGCGGAUCGGAGACCCGUUCAGCCUCAGGCAGCGCGGCACUCACCACCGCAACCACACGGCCACACUAGUGCGCCACUCACCACCGCCAAGAAGCACGUCCACGGUCCAUCGAAGAUUUAAGUCGCCGCCUCGUCGCCUACUGCCUGCUGCUUGUCAGUCGUCAGUCGUCACCUCCGGCCUCCCUCUUCUCUGCUCAGUGCUCGUCCCUCCAUCCCUCCAGGGUCCAGCCCAGGUGACUUAGUAGUAUGUCCAGAAGGAACAACUUGUAGGGAGCCAUACCUAUUAAGAUUCAGCUCAUUGUUUGCUGUGUUGCUGAUGAAAUAGUUUCUGUGGCUAUGAAUGCUCAUGUCAUCAUGUUCUAUGGGACCACAGUGGCAGGCUUGAAGUGUUUGGACCCCAUCUUUUUCUUCAUGAAUCCUCGGCCAUGUUACCACAUUCACAUUAUGUUUAUUUUCGUAUUACUACUUAUUUUUAGGAUUUGAGACUUAAUGUUUAUUAAAAUGUUAUUGGAGAUAUAUUUUUUAACUGUUAAUUUUUAAGUUUUUAGCUA